UUCAAUUGGAGCUAGAGUAGGGAUGACAAANAAAAGGUUGGAGUGAAAGAGAUGAAAGAGAAAGGGUUGAGAGGAAUGAGAGAGGUGGGUAAGGGUUUGGGGGUUUCUUUUUUUAUUUUUUUAAUUUUGAGAAUGAAAAUUAUUAAAAUACCCUUAACCUUAAAACUUAUAAUUCAUGAUAUAUAAAAGUAUUUUUGUCUACUGAAAC
rnacentral:lncRNA from 1 species